UCUGAGGCUACGCAGGACUCUGACAGAAGAAUACGGCCAGGGGACUUACUGAGAGGUCCACAACUGUCUUGAUGGCCUUUUCUUUUCUCUUUAUGAAGUCAUCAUCCUACAAGACAAAACAGAGCGAUUAAACAAAUCCCAAGGGAAAAUUAAAACUCAAGUGGACCACUCAGAUAUGUCUUAUAAAUUGACUUCUCAUCUCAUCACUACUUUGCCUGACGAAGUCUCAAUUUUCGAACAAAUUGUAAUAUAUUCUCCAUGGGAAAAGGCUACAAACCCUGCAGAUGGCUCCAACAUAGAUCCCUACACAGCCAGUAAGAAAAAGGGGGUCAUAAGGAAUAGUGCUUAAGACGAGAGUUCUCAUUUCAAAUCCUCUUAAGCACUGAAACCUCAGCUCGUUUCACCAGCCACUGGGGAAGAAAGUGAAAAGACAAGAGUUGCUAAGGACAACAUCCCACUGAAGUGAAGGCCAGUUCAGACAUGGCCCAACUCAUGAACUCAAAUCAGCAUAGUUGAACUGACUAGGUGAUAAGAAGCUAUCAACACAUGCUGUUCUAUAGGAAAAGCAACCAGCUGGGUAUCCAAGAUGUUAAGAUCCAAUGGGACCUAGUGCUGAGUAGCCGUGCAGGAGCUUUAAAGCCUUACUUCACAUCCUUGAGCCUCAGUUUUCCUUUCUGUAAAAGUAUAUCAGUUCCCUUCACCUCACAGAGCUAACAUGGGAGUAAAUGAAAUCACAAGUAGUAGAGUGAUUUGUAAACACCUGAAGCACAAAACAAACAGAGCUAUCUCCCAACUUCCUGGUCCUACUGGCAGAUCUUCAUGUAAAUCUCUUUUUCUUGUGCUCCUUACACGACAGACCAGGGAAAAGGGAGAGAACCACAGAGAAUGCUAGUGUAACUCCCCAUUUGACAAGUGAAAAAAUGUCCAAAAUACUCAGAUUUGACAAUGGUGCAUACUGAGUACGCAGUUGAAGGCACUGGUUUAUCCUGACAUUCAUAACAUUCUCUCUUAAUCCUCACAAUGUCGGAUGGUACUGGCUGAGUUUUACUGAACCUGAAGUGCCGGGAGACUAUAUAACUUACU
rnacentral:lncRNA from 1 species